UACGUAGGGUGCAAGCGUUGUCCGGAAUUAUUGGGCGUAAAGAGCUCGUAGGCGGCUUGUCACGUCUGCUGUGAAAACUCGGGGCUCAACCCCGAGCCUGCAGUGGAUACGGGCUAGCUAGAGUGCGGUAGGGGAGACUGGAAUUCCUGGUGUAGCGGCGAAAUGCGCAGAUAUCAGGAGGAACACCGGUGGCGAAGGCGGGUCUCUGGACCGAUACUGACGCUGAGGGGCGAAAGCGUGGGGAGCGAACAGG
rnacentral:rRNA from 1 species